GUGGUUGUUGCUCAAUGGUAGAGUUCCUGCCUAGCAUGUGUGAGACACUGGGUUUAAUUCUCACAACCACA
rnacentral:tRNA from 1 species